rnacentral:rRNA from 1 species
UACGUAGGCAGCGAGCGUUGUUCGGAGUUACUGGGCGUAAAGGGUGCGUAGGCGGUCUGCUAAGUUUGAUGUGAAAUCCCGGGGCUCAACCCUGGAAUGGCAUUGAAUACUGGCGGACUAGAGUACCGGAGAGGAAACUGGAAUUUACGGUGUAGCAGUGAAAUGCGUAGAGACCGUAAGGAAGACCAGUGGCGAAGGCGAGUUUCUGGACGGUAACUGACGCUGAGGCACGAAGGCCAGGGGAGCAAACGGG